rnacentral:rRNA from 1 species
GCGGAGGAAAAGAAACUAACAAGGAUUCCCCUAGUAACGGCGAGUGAAGAGGGAUGAGCUCAAAUUUUGAAUCUGGCGUCUUCGGCGUCCGAGUUGUAAUCUAGAGAAGUGUUUUCCGCGAUGGACCGUGCACAAGUCUCCUGGAACGGUGCGUCAUAGAGGGUGAGAAUCCCGUAUAUGGCACGGACUACCAUUGCUCUGCGAUACACUCUCGACGAGUCGAGUUGUUUGGGAAUGCAGCUCAAAGUGGGUGGUAAAUUCCAUCUAAAGCUAAAUAUUGGCGAGAGACCGAUAGCGAACAAGUACCGUGAGGGAAAGAUGAAAAGCACUUUGGAAAGAGAGUGAAACAGUACGUGAAAUUGUUGAAAGGGAAACGCUUGAAGUCAGUCGCGCCCGUUUGGAUUCAGCCUUGCUUCUGCUCGGUUUACUUCCUCGCGGGCGGGUCAACGUCAGUUUUGGUCGGAGGAGAAAGCCUUUGGGAAUGUGGCAGCAUUCGUGCUGUGUUAUAGACCUUUGGUGUAUACUUCGRCCGGGACUGAGGACCGCAGCGCGCCUUUAUGGCUGGGGUUCGCCCACAUACGCGCUUAGGAUGUUGGCAUAAUGGCUUUAAGCGACCCGUCUUG